UUUUGGAAUCCAACAAGAGGACUGCAGUUGAGAGAAAAGCAGGGAUACACAUCACCAGAAGGUUGUGUUCCAGCAGUGGGGAAGCUUCAGGAAGCUGCUAGAAGCGUUCUACAUUGCAUUUUUCUCUGACCAGACUUCACGUGAGUGAUCAAAUGAGAGGCCAUUAUUUCUUGUAUUUCCGAGGAAGUAAUAUUUUUGCUACUUGUAAGUGACUAUUUGUAAUUUUUACUAUUAUAGUAAGCACCUAUCCAAUUAAUCUUGAUUUUUAAAUCUCUUUUAGUCUCUUGAACAAAUACGUUUACAAGAAAAAUCAGGUUUGUUUAGAUUCAUGGAAUGAUUUAGACUGGAAGGGACUUUGAAGGUCAUCUGGUCCAACCUCCUACUCAAAGCAGACCUAACCUACUAAGAUGGGUUGGUUUUCUAUUAAUUUUCUUUUUUUAUUUCAAUAACAGUAUUUUAUGGCAAUAGUUCUUGUUGAAGAGUUUAUUCUAAACCACUUUCCAUUUACUAUUUUCCCCUGUUAACUUUGCUGCUAUAAAUAUAUGCUGUAGUCACCUUUGGAAUCAACAAUCCCUGUUCACACUUUAUUCUCUUGCCUCUUGCAUUGACAAUGGCAAAGAAUAGAGACUAACCUGAAUAUGCAGAGUAAAUUUCCCAGUUUGGAAAAUGGGGUUUAUUAUCCCAUAUUCUGAAGAAUGACCAUACCUCAGUCCAGGCUUAUUGCUUUGAAGCUAAAGGAAAUUAAACCAUUCUUCUACCUUUAGGCCCCAAAGAAAAUGACUUCAUUUCCAUGUAUUUCCAGAGACGAUGAGCUGCUGAUCUAUGAUUCUUCUCAACUUAUAGGACAGCUGAACAAAAUGUAAAAACCAAAGGCCUGGCUUUGCUCUCAGCUGUUCUGGUAUAAUCCAAGCUCAGCUUCUCUGGUGUUAAUGAAUUUAUUCCAGUUUUACUGUGCUGUGAUCAAACCAGAAUAUAUUGUAUAGUUUGCAUGAAAGAAUUGGGCCAUUUUCUUCUGUUUUCAGAUGAUGAGCUGUCUGUUAGUUGGUCUGUAGCCUCCCUUUCUCACCCUUUCCCUAUUCUAUAAUUUAAAAAAAAAUGUGUAUUUGCAAAAGAACAUCGACAAACUCUACCUGAAAAACUGUCUUACACAGUCUUGCAAACUCUUGUUUUUUAAAGAGAAGUUCCCUGCAGAUCAUGAAACCUGGGAAGGAUCCUGUGGAGGAUUUGGCCAUGUUUAGAAAGCAUCCAGAGUAGCUAUGACAACUUCAUGUCCAGGGGCCAAGAUCGUGUCCACAUACCAAAUCUCUGACACUAUGCAAGAUCCUUAUCCAACCUAAAGAGGAAACUGUAAAAUUAGAAUUGCCUAAAAUAACCCCUAGAGAGACUAUUGCCAGUUCUUGAGAAGAGUUGGGGGGUUUUUUGACAUCUCAAAUACAGCUUUUUCUUAAAAUAUCUGAAACAGGAAACUUGUGAAAGAAAAGAAAAUAAUGAAAUGAAUAAGGUAUCCACAACCCUGGAAAAACAGGUUCCCAGCUAGGUCCUUUUUUUGUUAUUUGCUGUGAUUUCUUUAACCUUCUUUGAUCAGUUAAAUGGACUUGGAGUGUUAUAGAAGCCUCUGAAAUAUAUCAAUAUCAUUUUCUUGGGUUUAUAUUUGAAAUGAGAGUGGUAUCCAAGGUGAGUUUCAGCUCCCUCUGGUCUGGACGAACUGGGAUUAAUGCUGAGUGCAGCAAGGGAGGCUGAUCUCAGCACAGGGAGGUGAUCAGGGUCUGAUCCAUUACCUGGUCCAGGCAGUUCAGAUGCUGACUGUAUUUUUUUGAUAUUACAUGUGGAAGUGAAGCAUUCAACUGAUAGAAAUCUGCUUUUCCAUGCAAUGAAUAUGUUGGCUACAGCACCUGCAGCCUCGUGCUUUCUGGUAAAAGCUGAGCUCUGUGUUAAUUCUCUUAGUUAUUGAUUGGUAAUAUUGUUUCUGCUUCCUGUCUCUGCAGUGAGGUUUUUACAUCCUGCCUGUAGUUGAUCCCUUCCUGUUUCUCUGGGUAUGGCAAGGUUCUGCAAAGCAGGUUUUUAUAAAGGAAGAGAGACCUGCAAAAUGCAUUACUAAAGGUACUGAUUUAAAAAAACCAGGUGCACAAAUGAUGUUUGGGUUUAAGUAGCCAGGAUGAGGUUUUGAACAUUGGCUCAGGUAGAACCAAACUCAAACAUUUUAAUAAUGGUAUAUUAACAUAACUGCCUUAUGCAAAAUAUUUCUGGCUGCUUUUUAUGAAAGUAAACAGAAAGAGUGAUAUAUCUGGAUAAAGAGGAGCAGAUGGUAAUUUUUAUUAUUCCUCCCUUCCCCUUGCCUUUUACUUGCAUCCCAGUGAGGGAGAACUAAAAGACAAAAUCUCCUCUUCAGUGAAUUUGGAACAGAAACUUCAAAAUAGAUAUCCCAACUUAUGCCUUAAUGUUUGCCCUGGGGGGUCAUGCUCUUGAACGCUCUUCAUCCACUGGAUUAAUAAGGCCAAAGGAUUUUUGUCACUGAAAAAAAAUGUUCAGAUUUUACACGAGUUAAGGACUGCUUUGAUUUGUGAAAACUCAUUUUCAGUGUCUAAGUUCUUAUCCAGGAAGAACUCUCCACUGUGAUAAUGGUUAUCUGCAAGUCAGUUUUAACUUGGCACCCUUCACGUUUGGCAGCAGAUUUUAGCUUUACAUAACACUGAGUUAUUAUUAAUGUACCAUAUUGCAGAUUUUAUGAAGGAAUCAAGUUUUCAAGUGUUGGGGUUUUUUUUAAGUCAGGAAAUGCUACAAAUAGGCUUUUUACAGGCAUGCCACUUUACGCUCUACAUGUCCCGUGCAUUUCAUUAUAUUUCCCUUAAAAUAACAAUCCUUAGGUUAGUGCACAUAUUUAGUAAUCAAAGCCAUCUAUUAUACUGCCCGAAUACAAAAGGGUUCACUCCAUGUUUCAAGAUCUUUUUCAUUCUCCACAUUUAUAACGUGACCCGUGCUAAUAUUGCAUUGGCACUGGUGGGGUUUUUUUCAUUUGACAUAAGUCUAAGGAUGUCUGAGUGGUCCUGGUUCAAGGUGUCUGUCACAUGAGGUACAGAAUUUCUCUCAGUAAAGACUGCUUAGUUUUUAAAUUCAAGUGAUUCAGAAAAAGUACCUGUAAAAGGCUAAAAAGUAUUUAAGGGUGGUGGAGGAUGCACUUGGUGACAGGAGUUCAUACAGGGGUGGGUAAAGUGGUGUGAGCCUGGCAUGUAUAUAGGGAUGGCACUUAGUAAUUGCUUAUUCUGUUUGCCUUUUUAGUUGACUGAUGUUUUUAUCUGGCUCUCUGGAGUGAGGUAUGCUGGAUGUACUGUGGCUUUCCAAAAGGAAAUACUGAAGUAACCCACACGGAGCCAUAAGGAAAAUAAACUGUCAUUUCUAACACACGGCACAUGAAGAAAAGCCCUUUCACAUCACUUUGUUUCCUGCUCAAAGCUGUUUCUCAAACUGUGUAAGAUCUCCAGCUCACAUUAUUGUUCUGAGGGGCUUCAUACAAGAAGGGCGUUUUUUGCCUAGCAAGGCUAAUGAGGUCCUAUAGCAAAAAGAUACACAAUAUCAGUAAGGAAACAGCUAAUCUGACAUUAACGUUCAAUGUGUUCAUUCGUUUCUAAAGGCACGUUAAUUUGGUGUAACUUUUCUGUCCUUGUACUAGAAUAGAAAGUAGGACAUCUGUGAGUACAGUAAUUAAACAAGUCAACUAAACCCCAUUUUAACAAAAGGCUUGGCAUGGCCAUGUCCCUACAGGUGCUCUUUUUGUGCUUUCCAAAGCUGGGGUGGGUUCUGCUCUGUGUGCAUCACCAGCACGUGUCCCUCACACACCAGCCUUGUUAGUGCAGCAAUCGAGCACUGCUGUCACAGGAAAGGCCAUCAUGCAUUUCUGGUGUUCCUGGGAUCCAUCAGCACUGCCAGUCUCCCCACCUCCUUUGUGAGGACACAGAUUAAGGGGUUUUGUAGCUGGAGUUGAGGGGUGAGACAUCCUGUCGCUACAUGCAGAGGUAACGGAGCCUUUUAGGUCAGAGACGUCGCAGAUGUUUCUUUUAGGCCCACAUUAGAAACUUUUGCUCAUACACUGAUGUCAGCCUGGGUCUGAAAAAAACAUAAAUCCCACCUGCCCACUGGAGCUGAGCCAGCACAGUUCCUGGCGUGGACACAGCUGUGCUGCCAGGAAAAGGCUGCUGCCAGAUUAACCUGUUGGGUUCAGAGCCUGGUGCAACUCCAGUGGCACAAAAUCCCCUCUGGCAGUGCCCUUCCCUGCUGCAGAGCUGUGUGACACUCACAGGGACUGGGACUGCAGACAGAGGCUCCUCAGGGCAGCAGUUGAGAUGGGCCUGGUGUGAGAACAAAGGGGAGACAAAGACACUGAGAAAGUGUCUGAGAACACAGCAAAUCAUUGGCAGGUCUGAUAGGAGGUGUCCCUUUUGACUGCAGGAGCCCCUUUAAAAACUUCCCACUCCAUAAAUCCAUUUUUUCCCCCCUGGAAGCCACAUUUCCUCUGUGUGCCAGUUUCCACUGGCUGCAGGAACAUCUGCUGAUGGGACUAGGUUUGCUUUGCUUAGAAACACCCAGCAUUUAUUGCCCUUGCACUGGCAGCUAAAUGCUGAAGGGUCUGUCCCAGGACUGCUCUGGAUAGCAGAGAGGAGCUGGGUCUUCAGCCAGACCCUAGUGGGACAGUAAAUGCCUCUGGUUCUCAGCAGAUCCUACAGUAAGAACUCUCUCUGCCUGCUUCACAGUCCCAGCAAAAGGACUGCACAAACCCAUAACCCAGCAGUAUAUCAGGUUCAAAGUAUUUCUUCUGUCGUCACAUGCAUCUGCCUUAGGUUAUCAGCAAACCACAGAGAAUUACAGCAGCGAGGAAAUAUUCAAAGGUCAGCCCAGGAUCAGCCUGAGUGACAGGUGGUGAUGGGGUUUUUAUUAGGCUUUCUGUCUCUGGUACCUGUUGAUGUAGGAAUGGUUGAGUUCCUGGGAGCCAGCAGCUCCAGGACCCUUCAGUCUAUGGGGACUUGUUUAAUUACCCUUUCUUCCUGAGAUGAACAUGAGAAAGCUUGGAUGGGUUGCAGCAGCGGCAGAGAAGCAUGACUGUGAUGCUCUUUGACCAAAAUCAGUUGUCCAAAGCACUUCAGCAUGGAAAAAAUGUCACUGGACAACGAAAACAACAGGAAUUAGUGGAGUGAAGCUGCUGGAGAGGUGAUUGUUCACUGUUUUCUGCAGUAUGAGAAGUAGAGGGCAUCAAGUAGAGUUUAAAUUAGUCAAUACUUAAAAGAAUCUCUGGUUCCUGAGAUAAAUGGUUGUUUCAAUGAAAGUAUUAGAAUUAUUUUUGGUCGAAUAUCGGGAACUAGUCAUGCUAGUUAUUGACACUGUUAUCAAAGAGAUUUGAUAAUGUAGCUAUUUGAAAUCCAUACCUUAUAAGUGUGAAGUUCUGGCAUGACUGGAAUGAAAGUAUAGGUGAGUCAAGCACAGUAAUUUUGACCAAACUGUAGGCUACGGAAAGUUUGCAGUUUUCUAUUCCAACCAAAGACAAAAAAAUGUAAUAAUCCAAGUAUCAGAACUUCUAAACUAAUUUUCUGAAAAAUCAGGUGCUUCAGAACAAUAUCCAAGUCUUAAGAUACAGCAAUGGAACAGAACAUGUCAGUGGUUGUGUCUGUUGGGCAGAGCCUGGCAGGGCAGCAGGCACACCUGUCCUGAGAGCAGUGCUUGGGAAGGGGCAGGGCACAGCCCCUGCAUUCCCACCGUGGGCACAGCCCAGCACCAGCCUGGGGACAAUGGCAGCGCUCCUGUGAGCUCGGAGAGGCAGGAACCAACCACAGCACAACGGGAAACAGAUUUUUUCCAAGCUAGAAAAGCCUUUGCCCCCAAGUAUUUUUAACCCAAGUAUUUCAGAGCAUGUCAGACAAUUGAUCAGCAAUCUGUUGCUGAAGUGAUGUAUUUAUCUGAUGCGUGGUUUCACUUAGCAGCUACAACACGUACAGCAAAGAACUCAAAAAAAAAAUGAACUGGAACUCUAUGCAACAACUCUUAUUCAAAACAGAUGUAUUACUUGGUAUAUGUUUAACAUUCUCCUCAUAAUCCCAACUUGAUCCUUAACCAUCAUGCAUUAGAGUGUUGCUUUUAAAGAAGAUGAAAAUGGGCUGCUAAAAUGCUGCCCAUAUAAUCUGAAUUAUUUUCAGCCCUGUUGUUAAAGCUUAGAGAUAAAAUUCUCUUUUGAACUAAGGUUGAAGGCAUUGUGUUUGAUAUAUUGGUAUAAUUCCUGUAAUAUAAAUACUCAUAAAUUAAGUUAGUGGUAUGGUAUGAUUUCCUGUAAUCUGUUUCCAGAAUCAAUAUUUUAUUGAAUGAACUUCUUAUUUUAACUUCUCACUUACUGACCCAGUGGUGCAGCUGUAACGUGUGCUUGAUCACUCACUCUUUUAAAAUCAGAUCUGACUAUGCAGCAGCAUAGAUGUGGCACAGUUUUGGAAGAAUUGCACUUAAUAUUGUGUGGAUAGAGACUGAAAAUAGCACUAUCACACCCUAAUGUAGAUUCUCCCAUCUUAACAUCCUGUAGUACUUUAGAAAACGGCCGUGUAAUAUGAUCCCCAUUUUAUGGGCAGGAAAACUGAAGCCACGAUUAUUUCCUUCUUAAAGGAUGCUUAACUUUAAGCACCUCCCUAUAACAUCUACUUUUGUAAAUGUGGAUUUUAUUUUUAAGAAUCCUUUAUACGUAGCAAUUAUCAUUCAGCUAAUUACCCAAGAUUUAUUGCAAGCCUCUGCCAGUGAGCGUGUGACCUCAUGCAGAGCAAAAGGCUGUUUGUUCUGAGCAGGUGGAACUGUAUCACCCAUUGGGCCGUGCUGGGGGUGUUGACAAAGGCAGCAGCAGAUGAAGAUGCUCUGCAGUACUUUGGGGGCUGGGGUGGUCCAUUGGCACUUCUUUGGGGCAAUGCACAGUUCCUGUGCUGUGUCCCUCUCAGGAACACAAAAUCUGCCAGUAAUCAUCAUCAGUCCCUGCAGGUCUCCUGGGAGCCUCGGGUUCCUGCCGCAGAACCUGGUGCUGCAUCUCUAAGCUGCACAGCCAAGAAUGUGAUGAUUUCCCUCUCCUCAAAGAGUUCCUUGCUCCCUCUUUUCUUUACCCUUGCUUGUUCUGAGUCUGUGCUUUAUAGGCUACACCACAUUUAAACACACAGUGAUCCCACUGCGGGUUUUGGGGGUGGAGGAGGGAAUGUAGGAGUACUAACAGAAAAAUUGCUCUUUUUGUGGUGACCAGAGCAACUGUAUUAGAUGAAACUGCUCUUUGUUAUCAGUGUUUAAAAAGUAUUUUCUGAUGUGGUAAAAACUGUUAUAUGGAUGGAGUUCAAGAAGGCGGAGGGCAUGUGAAAGUUUAUUUUAUAAAGGGAAAACUGGAUUGUUUUGUAGUUAGGGGUUCUGUACCUAAAAUGUCUCUACAGAUUAAAUUUCCAAGUUCUUUGUUCUCAGACACUUUGUUUCAGAUGGGCAAAUGAAGAAUGAACAAUGAGGUUUAAGUCGAUGCCUUCAUAGAUGCAGUCUGAAUGCUCUGAUUUACACAACAUGGUCUGUAGGUUGAUGAUGCCACCAUAAGACUCCAAGACCUCACAAGUCUAAUCCUGAGAAAUCCCCUGUAGCCAGUGCACACUGACUUCAUAUGAGCGAGAUAUGAACCUGCCAUCCAGCUUCACUUUCCUCUGUGGAUUAGUCCAGACAUCACUCUUGAUGUUUCCAAGGAAUGUAACUCCACGAAGGCUGGUGUCAUUCUCCAGUGGAGUUUAAAAUGGAAUUUAGGAGAUCUGAUAUUCCCAAGGGCAGCCAUGUAGUGCUGCAGCAGGAGGGAAACAGACCUCCAAAACAUGCCACUGUAAGAAAAGAGCAAGGAAAAGCCCAGUCCUGGAAAAUGCACUGGCACUACAAAAAAGUGUGGAAGUCUGGGGAAACAAUGAAUUGGAGCUGAAUAAUAUUAUAUCAGUCCUGUAUGUUUUUAAUAAGUAGUUGGAAGGUCUUCCGUGAGGAGUUUCUGCUCAAUUUUAUCUCAGUCAGGGAUAGAAGUUGUUCAUUUGGUCCCAUAAAGAGCUGAACUUCCUGAGCAGGCACAUGUUGGAAGUUCUCUUACAUUGGCAUAGGAAGCUAUUUUUUUUUUGUAAAACAUUUCACAUUUAUGUUCUUCCAGAAUUAAAGGCACAGGGCCUGCUCCAGAGCCCUCUGCAGUCACUGAUAUCCUCACACUGACCUCUGGGAGCUUUAGGGCUCUCUUUUGGACCUCCUUCCCCCCACCUCCCCCAGCUAGCUGCCAUUUAUAUAACAGAGUUAAAAAUUCGGGGAACUCAAAGCACACAAAGAAUUUGCAGUUUGGGAUAGGAAGGGAAGGAUUCUGCAUCCAACCAAACCAAACCCUGUCUUCUCUGCCACUUGCUGCUAAGUAUGAGGAGAGUUUUCCAGCUCUGGGUGGGACUGACAGCUCAUUGCUGGGUUCCUGCUGCUCCCGGGAAACCACCAUUCAUCCAGCCUGCAAUCCGCAGAAUAAAGGAACCAGAUAAUCAGUGACACUCUCCUCUGUCCAUAUUUAAACAUUUAUGGCAUAGAUGUUGACAGAUGAUCUCAUCAUCUAAACUCCCUUUGUAGUUGACGGAAGGACAAAGACACUUCUGUCUCAUAUUUUUGCAAAUAAACAAAUGGAUAUACACAUAUACAAAUGUAAAGACUCACAAAGGUUAAUUUAAAUGGUAUCAUGACAAAACUUGAAGAAGAGAAUGAGACAUUCUUUCCUGACCUUUUUUUUUUCUCUUGUGCUUUGCCAAUUCAAAGGAAAGUCAGUGUGCUUUGUGCAGACAGAAGUGUAAAUCUUUUGAAAUUCCAGCAAGAAAUACAUACAGCAGAUAUAAAUACAAAUAAAAUUCAGGGUAGGUGACACCUUUCUGGAGUAGCUAUGACUGGAUAUUCUGUCUACAGCUAGCUGUUGUAUUAAGACUGUGGGAACAUCUACAGUGACAAAGCUGACACUUCAUUUUGGCCGCUUUAAUGAGGUGUUCAGUGUCCUGCUCCUCUGCUGGGCUUCUGCAUCACCAACCCAAAAGCUGCACCAUCACUAAUGCAGAGAGAGUCUUUUUCUGUCUCGUGUCCAGUCAAUCAGCUUUCCUCCUGUGCUUCAUCCUGCAGUCUCCCUCUGAGGCAGAGCUGCAACCUGAGGGUCACAGACCCCGGGGAGUUCUUUGUUUCCUGAGAAAAGAUGAAACUGCUGCUAUCUUUGAACAAAACCAUUUAUCUUAGUACAGAAACAGUGUCUUGUUCAUCCCCAAAAACUGAGCUGAAGAGAAGUCUCAGCCCUCCCUCAACACAUGCAAUUCUUCCUUCAUGAAGGUUGCAAAAACAUCUGUCCUGGCACAUCUGGGAUCACAAGGAGACUGAUUAAAAACCUGGAAGACAGACAUUUCCUAGUCUGAGCUUUCUGCCAUGGAAGCAGGCACCAUAAGGCAAACCUGACUGAUCUCUUGCAAAAAAACCCCCAAAACAACCCAAAACCACAAAGAAACCCCCCAAAGAUGGAAAAUGUCUUUGUAGUCCAUUGCUGUUCCCUCAUUGUUCCUGAACUGCUGGAGCUCUCUUGUGUCUCCUCGAGCUCAUGUCUCCUCGAGCUGCUGCAGAGAGGUUGGGAGGGGCCCCUGGACACCGGCAGGAGAAGAGCUCUGCGCUCAGGAGGUGUGUGCUGGCCGAUGGCAGCCCGGGCCAGUGCUCAGGAGGUGUGUGCUGGCUGAUGGCAGCCCGGGCCAGUGCUUACGAGGUGUGUGCUGGCCGAUGGCAGCCCGGGCCAGUGCUUACGAGGUGUGUGCUGGCCGAUGGCAGCCCGGGCCAGCGCUCAGGAGGUGUGUGCUGGCCGAUGGCAGCCCGGGCCAGUGCUCAGGAGGUGUGUGCUGGCCGAUGGCAGCCCGGGCAGCCUGCAGGCCGUGGUACAUCUGCCCCUGGGCUGGGGACUGGGCUGGGUGUUCGUGGUGACCCUGCCUGCUGUGGCAGCAGAGGGUGAGCAGUGAGAGGGAAGCCGAGCAGAACACACUGGCCUGUCCCUGCAGGAUGGGUGUCUCCAUGGGUGCAGCUGGGCUGCCCACCAUGGUCCUGUGCUGGGCAGGGGUGUGGGAGGGUCCCUGCACCCCACGGCUUCGCUGCACAGCUCCUGGGGGCACACCGAGUUGGGACUGAAAGCCAGGAAUUCCCUCUUCUUCCUCUUGUUGUGAUACAGAAAAGAUUUCACCAGUCCCGUCAAACAAGAAGAUCCAUUGGGGUAAUUAAAAACUACUCAUUUAACACAAACGUCUGGUGUUGCAGUAAACCGGCUGUUUUGUCCACAAAAACCUGACCAUGUUUUCAAUUAAGCCUUAUCCCCUUACUGAUGUUUUCAUAUUUGUGCUGCAUUUACAUAAAGUUUCCUGACAAAAUAUGUCUUUCCUCUCGCAUGUUUAUGUGUUUCAUGGUUCAGCACAUCUGUGGAAUUGUUUAGCUAUCAACAAAACUAACGCAAUACAAGAACUCUGAUCUUGCUGGGGCUUUCUCUCACCACUUGGAUAUUAUGUUGCAACUAUUCCUUCAGGUGGAGAAGACACACACUGAUCAGGACAGAGUCACAUGUGAACGAACCAGGUGAACUGGGAAAAAACUUGCAGUGGCUCAAUACAUAACAGCUGAUGAAAAGUUUGGGAGCAUCUUGGGCUCAGGGGUCAGUUGGCCUGGAACAGCCCACAUUUGCAAUAGUAAAUUCCUGGUUAAACAGGGUGUUUGCACUCAGAGUCUUGGUCUCACCUACAGGCAUUAGCCAUGGCUUCACUGCUGGUGGCCUUUCGGGACCUCUGAGGUGUGUUUUACUCACAAAUCAUUGUUUAUUUUAAACUCUGUGAUGGUUGAAGUGCAGCUUUGUGAGAAGAUAGGAAGUUUUUGGCAGCAAGUGUGCUGAAUUGCCUUUCUCUUUGAAAAGAGGUAGGCUGUUCACAGUGCUGUGUGGGAGGGGGACGAGAGGCAUAGGACCCAAGUUGGAACAAAUCAUGUUCGUGCUGGGUUUCAAACCCAGUUUUUGUAGCAAAGGGCAGUGGAAGAGGCUGGACUGAGGCUGAGCAGCCUCCAUGCUCAGAGGCUUGGAACACCCAGCUGAGCAACCUGCUGUGACCACACAGUUGUCCCUGCACUGAGCAGGAGGGUGGACUGAGGUCCCUCCCAACCUGAAUCGUUGUCUGUGGAGCAGGGAGUGAUCCUCUGGGACUCACUGAGGUUCCCCUGACUGUGUGCUCGGGUCAGGGCAGCGUCACUGAGGAGACAGCUGUUCUGCAGCAUCAGCCCUGCAGAAUGCCCAGAAAUGGAGAGGAAGUAUGUGCAGAUUUAAAAUGUUAAAACCACAAGUAUAAUAAAUUCUCAUUUAAUGUCAGUGAGUUAAUGCUGAGAAGGUAAAACAGAACAUCGGAUGUUCUUAUUUUCCCCAAAGCCCAGCUAACUUCACAGACAGAGAUUAUCAUAGGAGCAGUUUUUGAAUAACCCAUUUCAACAACAGGAUUUGUGGCUGGAUGUCAUUGUGGUAACAGUACUGCAGCUGCUCUUUCAACAGUUUGGCUCACACCUAUGCACUUCACCCAGCAGUUAAUAUACAUGCUUUGAGUGGUGUGGUGAUCAACACACACAAUUUCCUGGGUGGGCUGCAAAUCCCUAAGUAUGUAUUUUUUCAAGUCGUUGAAGUUUCUGAACAUUUUUGCAUAAUUGUUGUUUUUACUCUCUUUGUCAUCUUACGAUGUCUCAACACAAAUUAUUUGUUAGAAAGCCAAGAGCCAGGUGGAGUUCCUGGGGAAAAGGAACAACUAAAAAUACUUCUAUUCUGUAUUCAUUUAGUGGCAUUGUCUGAUACUGUAUUACACGAGAUCACUGAUCUAAUGGAGCUUGACAGUGUACAAGAACAUGAAGCAUGAGCCCAAACCUGCCCUAAGCUGUGACACCAGGCCCAGAAAGCACUGUGGAGCGAUAAUAUGCCAAUUAGAUGUGUCCCUUUGUGUUACUUGCAGGCAAUGGAAGACAAGCCUUUCCAUCCUCCCUUCCAGAUUCACCCUCUGUAACAGUUAUGAAUGAGAGGCUGAAACUGUGAAUUACUCAGUCUGUUCAUCAAGAACAGCAGGGCCAAAUUCUUCCCCCUACCUGGCACGAAGCUUUAUUUAUGAACUUGGUGGGAGCUUCUGGACUGCUCAGAGUAUCCCAGUCAGCCUGGUGUCAUCUGAAAACAGUUGUCACUCUUCCCAUUCUGAGACAGUACUGAUGAAAGGCAGCAGUGCUCCCCUGGAGGGGCUAUGUAGCUAUUAAGUAUUAGCCUAAAUGUGAAAAAUAAACAAGUAAUAACAAGUUUUAACCACCAAUAGCACAGGCUAAAUAUGAAAGAUUAGGCAAAGGAAAUGUUAAGUGUCUGGCUUUUCAGUCCUUCCUAUCAGGAUGAAAUUAAAUAUCUUUCUACUAAAAGAAGGCCUACCCAAAGACUGCUGAAAUCAGUGGAAAGACAUCCACUGCAGAGGGUUUCUAGAAAGGCCCACCAUUCUGAAGACAAUUGGCUCACACACAGCCAUUCCUUCCUGAUGGAUAUUUGCAGCUGGGGCUAAUAAUAGUAUUUAAAGUUCUUUCUAAUAAAUCUCUUGUCAUAUG